rnacentral:rRNA from 1 species
UGCCACAAGUAUCCCAAAUGCACCUGAUCUAGUCUGAUUUCAGAAGCUAAGCAGUGUCAGGCCUGAUUAGCACUUGGAUGGGAAACCUUCUGAUAAUACUGGGUGCUGUGGGCU